GGGUCAGUAGGUUGGUCGUGCCACCGGUACGUACUGGUCUCACUGAUUCCUCCUUCCUGAAGAACCGUAAUGCCAUUAAUUUGGUGUUGCGGGGAAACAGGACUGUUACUUUGAAAAAAUUAGAGUGUUUAAAGCAAGCUAACGCUUGAAUACAUUAGCAUGGAAUAAUGAAAUAGGACGAUCGAUCCUAUUCUUUUGGUUUCUAGGAUUGACGUA
rnacentral:rRNA from 1 species